rnacentral:rRNA from 1 species
GAGUUUGAUCGUGGCUCAGAUUGAACGCUGGCGGCAUGCCUUACACAUGCAAGUCGAACGGCAGCAUGAUCUAGCUUGCUAGAUUGAUGGCGAGUGGCGAACGGGUGAGUAAUACAUCGGAACGUGCCCUGUAGCGGGGGAUAACUAGUCGAAGGAUUAGCUUAAUACCGCAUACGACCUGAGGGUGAAAGUGGGGGACCGCAAGGCCUCAUGCUAUAGGAGCGGCCGAUGUCUGAUUAGCUAGUUGGUGGGGUAAAGGCCCGACCAAGGCGACGAUCAGUAGCUGGUCUGAGAGGACGAUCAGCCACACUGGGACUGAGACACGGCCCAGACUCCUACGGGAGGCAGCAGUGGGGAAUUUUGGACAAUGGGCGAAAGCCUGAUCCAGUCAAUGCCGCGUGUGUGAAGAAGGCCUCGGUU